GCUUGAGCACGUAGGUGGGUUUGUAAGUCAGAUGUGAAAGCCUCCUGUUCAACGGGAGAAUUGCAUCUGAAACUACAGAUCUUGAGUGUAGGAGGGGAGAAUGGAACUUCUGGUGGAGCGGUGAAAUGCGUAGAUAUCAGAAGGAACGCCGGCGGCGAAAGCGAUUCUCUGGCCUAUUACUGACACUCAGUGUGCGAAAGCUAGGGGAGCAAACGGGAUUAGAUACCCCGGUAGUCCUAGCCGUAAACGAUGGGCACUAAGUAGAGGAAAUUACCGAUAUUUUCUCUGCCGUAGCUAACGCAUUAAGUGCCCCGCCUGGGGAGUACGGCCGCAAGGCUAAAACUCAAAAGAAUUGACGGGGGCUCGCACAAGCGGUGGAGCAUGUGGCUUAAUUCGAUGCAACGCGAAAAACCUUACCGGGGCUUGACAUGGUAGAAGUAGGAACCCGAAAGGGUAACGAACGGUAUCCAGUCCGUAACUAUUACAGGUGUUGCAUGGCUGUCGUCAGCUCGUGUCGUGAGACGUUGGGUUAAGUCCCCUAACGAGCGAAACCCUUGUUUUUAGUUGCCAGCGGGUUAUGCCGGGCACUCUAGAAAGACUGCCGUCGUCAAGACGGAGGAAGGUGGGGAUGACGUCAAGUCAUCAUGGCCCUUAUGCCCCGGGCUGCACACGUGCUACAAUGGUCGGUACAAACGGAAGCGAAGCCGAGAGGUGAAGCGAAUCCAAGC
rnacentral:rRNA from 1 species